rnacentral:tRNA from 16 species
GCCCGGGUGGUGGAAUCGGUAGACACAAGGGAUUUAAAAUCCCUCGGCGUUCGCGCUGUGCGGGUUCAAGUCCCGCCCCGGGUACCA